GACGAACGCUGGCGGCGUGCCUAAUACAUGCAAGUUGAGCGCUGAAGGUUGGUACUUGUACCAACUGGAUGAGCAGCGAACGGGUGAGUAACGCGUGGGGAAUCUGCCUUUGAGCGGGGGACAACAUUUGGAAACGAAUGCUAAUACCGCAUAAAAACUUUAAACACAAGUUUUAAGUUUGAAAGAUGCAAUUGCAUCACUCAAAGAUGAUCCCGCGUUGUAUUAGCUAGUUGGUGAGGUAAAGGCUCACCAAGGCGAUGAUACAUAGCCGACCUGAGAGGGUGAUCGGCCACAGUGGGACUGAGACACGGCCCAAACUCCUACGGGAGGCAGCAGUAGGGAAUCUUCGGCAAUGGACGAAAGUCUGACCGAGCAACGCCGCGUGAGUGCAGAAGGUUUUCGGAUCGUAAAACUCUGUUGGUAGAGAAGAACGUUGGUGAGAGUGGAAAGCUCAUCAAGUGACGGUAACUACCCAGAAAGGGACGGCUAACUACGUG
rnacentral:rRNA from 1 species